GUGAGGUAUCUGGAAUGAUCCAAAGGCAAAUUGGAAUUUUCCAAGAGAGAAUGAAGAUGUAUUUGUGAAGAGAAAGACAGUUGGAAGGAAAUGUUAUUUUAGUAUAUAUUCUGGCCAUACAUGACUUAACAAGUAUGAAUUUCAAGAGGACAAUAAAAGAGAAAUUAUAGUAAUCAAGAUAGGAAAUGAUUAAAGAAUGGGAGAAAAUUUUAGCUGAGAGGGAAUGUGAAGAUUAAAUACAAAUUCUAACAGCCUGGUUGACAAGUUGAUGAGCACAUUUACAGAUGAGAAAUGAAGAAGGAACAAAAGAAUGACUUCAACAGUUUUGU
rnacentral:lncRNA from 1 species